UGAAGGGUCAAAAAGGCAAAGGGUGUUUUAGAAGUUUAGCAGACAGCUUUUGGUACAAGGAAAAGAGAGGGAGAGCUGGAGAGAGGGAAACAGGGUGAAGAGGCAGGAAUCUGGCUCGCAUUAAGCUGGGAGGUUCCAACCAUUGAUUCGCUCUGGAAUUAUGGCUUAAAAAAAUUGCAAGACAUGGUUUAUUCAUGAGGGUUCUUUUUUUUUCUUAAGUAGCCACCCAAAGUUACACUUUGGUUCACCAAGACGAAGACUCAUCCUUCCUCUCUCUAUGGAUCUUUCAGAUGAAGAAAUUAAGGCUCAGGAGGGAGGAAAAAAAUAAAAGAAAGAAUUGUCCAAGGUCACCAAGGCAUCUGGACUCCCAUAUGUUGAGCUACUUCUGCUUGUGGGGCAGCUGCAAUACAUGAAUUCUUCACUACAUGUCAUCAGAAUUUCAAAUGGAUUUGAGUUCCCAUAGGAUUAAGAUCCACUGGCCUAAAAUCAGGGGGAAUUGAUGGGAGAAUUUCUGUAUUGACCUGUGAAAUUGAGCACCAAAGAAACAAUGCCGUGGACUCGCAGAGUGCAGCUAUCACACCAUUUGGUCCAGGAAACCCAAUUCAAAUGUCUACGGUGACAAAAGGUGAAUUUCAAUGAGUGAGUUCAGCCAAGUGUAAGAAAAAUCUUAGUGUUCAGGAGACAAUAUGGAGUAAGUGACAAUGUAGUAGGUCAGAUAGUGGAGAGCAAUGCAUAUCCCAGAUGAGGAUCCAUAGCUCAGCUGCAUCCAUUGUUGCCGUAGUGGAAUCUUGACCCAACUUUGCUGAAUCUUUCAGGAUUUUUGAGUAAAGUCAGUAUAUUGUUUUGUUCUUACACAGCUAUAAUGAAAUACCUGAAACUGGGUAAUUUAUAAAGAAAAGAGGUUUAACUGGGUCACAGUUCCACACGCUGUACAGGAACCAUGGCUGGGGAGGUCUCAGGAAACUUACAAUCAUGGCAGAAGGUUAAGGGGGAAGCAGGCA
rnacentral:lncRNA from 1 species